rnacentral:rRNA from 1 species
GCUCAGUAACACGUGGCUAAUCUGCCCUUAGGACGAGAAUAACCCCGGGAAACUGGGGCUAACUCUCGAUAGGUGAAGAACUCUGGAAUGAGUCUUCACUCAAAAAGCUUCACGUUAUCCUCGUGAAGUCGCCUAAGGAUGAGGCCGCGGCCGAUCAGGUUGUUGGCGAGGUAACGGCUCACCAAGCCUUUUACCGGUGCGGGCCGUGAGAGCGGGAGCCCGGAGAUGGGUACUGAGACAAGGACCCAGGCCCUACGGGGCGCAGCAGUCGCGAAACCUUUGCAAUACACGAAAGUGUGACAGGGCUAUCCCGAGUGCCAUCCGCUGAGGAAGGCUUUUACCCAGUCUAGAUAGCUGGGGGAAUAAGGAGAGGGCAAGUCUGGUGUCAGCCGCCGCGGUAAUACCAGCUCUCCGAGUGGUGUGGAUGUUUAUUGGGCCUAAAGCAUCCGUAGCUGGCUAGGUCAGUCCCUUGUCAAAUCCACCGAAUUAAUCGUUGGAUCGCGGGGGAUACUGCUUGGCUAGGGGACGAGAGAGGCAGACGGUAUUUUCGGGGUAGGGGUGAAAUCCUAUAAUCCCGGGAAGACCACCAGUGGCGAAGGCUGUCUGCUAGAACGCGCCCGACGGUGAGGGAUGAAAGCUGGGGGAGCGAACCGGAUUAGAUACCCGGGUAGUCCCAGCUGUAAACGAUGCAGACUAGGUGUUUGGACGGCCACGUGCCGUUCUAGUGCCGCAGGGAAGCUGUUAAGUCUGCCGCCUGGGGAGUACGAUCGCAAGAUUGAAACUUAAAGGAAUUGGCGGGGGAGCAC